rnacentral:rRNA from 1 species
AUUGAACGCUGGCGGCAUGCCUUACACAUGCAAGUCGAACGGUAACGGGCCUUCGGGUGCCGACGAGUGGCGAACGGGUGAGUAAUACAUCGGAACGUGCCCGAUCGUGGGGGAUAACGAGGCGAAAGCUUUGCUAAUACCGCAUACGAUCUACGGAUGAAAGCAGGGGACCGCAAGGCCUUGCGCGGACGGAGCGGCCGAUGGCAGAUUAGGUAGUUGGUGGGAUAAAAGCUUACCAAGCCGACGAUCUGUAGCUGGUCUGAGAGGAUGAUCAGCCACACUGGGACUGAGACACGGCCCAGACUCCUACGGGAGGCAGCAGUGGGGAAUUUUGGACAAGGGGCGCAAGCCUGAUCCAGCCAUGCCGCGUGCAGGAUGAAGGCCUUCGGGUUGUAAACUGCUUUUGUACGGAACGAAAAGCCUUCUUUUAAUACAGGAGGGUCAUGACGGUACCGGAAGAAUAAGCACCGGCUAACUACGUG